GACCCCCGCCGGGGCGCAGAGGUUGCGGUGCUGUGCCCGUCGCUGCACCCACCGGAGGGGUUGGGUUUUGGGGCUGGGGGCUGCGGCGUAACGCGCCCCCGGUCCCGCUGCCGCACCUCGUGUGGUGCAGGCUUGGGCUGCCCUCCCCGGGUGGUCGCAGCCGCGCGAGGAGCGCGGUGGGUUUGGUGAGGGGCUCCGAGACCCCUCGCUCCCGCUGGGCGCCAAGCCCGCUGCAGCACGGGCAGGGCCGGGGGGCUGCAGCCCGCUGCGCCCACCCCAUGUCGCUGCUCGGGGCCAUCCCCGAGCUGUUAUUCCAGCAGCGACCUGACCCUCACAGCGGGACCCCCAGCUGCACCCCGUGAAGCCCCCCGUGCUCCCGUUGCCCCACAUGGCUGUUCUCUGCUGUUGAGUGCUGUGCUCCUGUUGCAUUUUGGCAGUUGCUGAGGCCGCAGUGUGUGUGGAAGGAGUCAGGACACUUCGCGACUGUGUGCUAUUUCAGCGGAAAACAUGCAGGAUUUUGGUGCGAGCGGCGGAGGGGGGCUCCGGCUGAAAGGCACGGUGCGCUGCCGCUUUGCCCCGGCCGUGGAAGGCAGCUGAACAAAGGCAACAUUAUACCUUGUGCCGGGGAAGGAAUGACUUGGACGCACAUGCAAAACAGCUCCGCCGUGCUGCGCGCCUUAUAAAUAUCCCCGUUUGUAAAGCCCGAAGCCCAUCUGACCACAAACGAUCUGUCCACCCAAUAAAUAUGCGAGCGAAAGAGCAA